rnacentral:rRNA from 1 species
UACAGAGGGUGCAAGCGUUAAUCGGAAUUACUGGGCGUAAAGGGCGCGUAGGUGGUUGAUUAAGUCAGAUGUGAAAUCCCUGGGCUUAACCUAGGAAUUGCAUUUGAUACUGGUCAGCUAGCGUGUGGGAGAGGGAAGUGGAAUUUCCAGUGUAGCGGUGAAAUGCGUAGAUAUUGGAAGGAACACCAGUGGCGAAGGCGACUUCCUGGACCACUACUGACACUGAGGCGCGAAGCGUGGGGAGCGAACAGG